rnacentral:rRNA from 1 species
CCUACGGGCGGCAGCAGUGGGGAAUAUUGCACAAUGGGCGCAAGCCUGAUGCAGCCAUGCCGCGUGUGUGAAGAAGGCCUUCGGGUUGUAAAGCACUUUCAGCGGGGAGGAAGGCGUUAAGGUUAAUAACCUUGGCGAUUGACGUUACCCGCAGAAGAAGCACCGGCUAACUCCGUGCCAGCAGCCGCGGUAAUACGGAGGGUGCAAGCGUUAAUCGGAAUUACUGGGCGUAAAGCGCACGCAGGCGGUCUGUCAAGUCGGAUGUGAAAUCCCCGGGCUCAACCUGGGAACUGCAUUCGAAACUGGCAGGCUAGAGUCUUGUAGAGGGGGGUAGAAUUCCAGGUGUAGCGGUGAAAUGCGUAGAGAUCUGGAGGAAUACCGGUGGCGAAGACGGCCCCCUGGACAAAGACUGACGCUCAGGUGCGGAAGCGUGGGGAGCAAACAGGAUUAGAUACCCUAGUAGUC